CCUGUAAAGUCGCCAUUGGCUACGGCCGCUCCUCUGACUCCGCCAGAGGAACGUCCGGAGUCCAUCGUCAGGUGGACAUCCCUGUCAUGACCAACGCUGACUGUGGCGCCGUAUAUGACAUCGUCGGCGAUGGCGUCGUCUGCGUCGACAGCACAGGCGGCAAGGGCACCUGCAACGCCCCCUCAACCUCAACGGCAUGACCUACGGCAUUACCUCCUUCGGUGCCUCCGCCGGAUGUGAGGUUGGUUACCCCGCCGCCUUCACCCGCGUCCACUACUACCUGGACUGGAUCGAGCAGAAGACUAGCGUUGCACCCUGAGCGACUUCGCUGUCGGCAGAUAUUUGCUGACGGUGUAAAGUGUUGAAAAGAUGAUAACAAUUAUAAAAAAGGAACAUUAAUAUCAUAGAGCGUCUUCUUUAUGCGCCAUAAAAGUUAAUCCAGUAUUAGAAUUUAAUUCAUAUCUCCUACCCAUGUGCAUUGGCAGUGUUCAGGAUUAUAUUUUAAUUCA